CCGAAUUGUCAACACGAGUUGUUGCUGGUCCUCAAACGGGGACAUGUGCACGCUCUGUUCACACAUCCACUCACACCUGUGCACUCUCUGUAGUUCUAUGGCCUGGGGGACACUGUCCCUCUUGCUGUGGUUCUAUGUCUUUACACACACACUGUAAUAAAGUCUCAUGGAAUGUAGUCGCGUUUAACGCAAUACAAUA
rnacentral:misc_RNA from 1 species